GACGAACGCUGGCGGCGUGCUUAACACAUGCAAGUCGAACGGAAAGGCCCUGCUUUUGUGGGGUGCUCGAGUGGCGAACGGGUGAGUAACACGUGAGUAACCUGCCCUUGACUUUGGGAUAACUUCAGGAAACUGGGGCUAAUACCGGAUAGAAGCUCCUGCUGCAUGGUGGGGGUUGGAAAGUUUCGGCGGUUGGGGAUGGACUCGCGGCUUAUCAGCUUGUUGGUGGGGUAGUGGCUUACCAAGGCUUUGACGGGUAGCCGGCCUGAGAGGGUGACCGGCCACAUUGGGACUGAGGUACGGCCCAGACUCCUACGGGAGGCAGCAGUGGGGAAUAUUGCACAAUGGGCGGAAGCCUGAUGCAGCAACGCCGCGUGCGGGAUGACGGCCUUCGGGUUGUAAACCGCUUUCGCCUGUGACGAAGCGUGAGUGACGGUAAUGGGUAAAGAAGCACCGGCUAACUACGUG
rnacentral:rRNA from 1 species